UAAAAACUUGCUGGUUUUACGGCUCAGGGGGCAUCACGGAACCUGCCGACAUGUGAUGUCUCCCCCGGACACCCAGCUUUAAAAUUUCUCUCUUGUACUCUUUCCCUUUAUUUCUAGACCGGCCAACACUUAGAGAAAUAGAAAAGAACCUAUGUGAAAUAUCGGGGGCUGGUUUCCCCUGAUAGUGAAGGAGACAGGUUAGAUACACUGGAGCUUCCACACAGGAGAGAGGGAAGGAGCUGGAGAAGAAGUGGUUCCAGGCCGUGCGGCUGUGUGAAUCUACCUGAUGACCCUCGGCUGCUUGGGUACUGCCAUGGAUAGCGCAUGUGUUGGCUUUGUCCAGCUUUGGGCUUUUUCCCACAUUGAUUUUAAAAAGACAGGAGCCACAGAUUUUGGAGUACUGCAAAAUGACUUUCCAAAUUGAUGAACCAUGGACUCCAAGCUGGAUAGACACAGAAAUGAAAAGAAGGGACUAAUAGGGAAUAAGACGUGUGAUCCAUGGCCCGAUGGCCCUGAUGGACGUGAAGAUCCACUGUUGUGGGAGGAGUGGAACACUAACACUGAAUGAUGGAGGCUGUGGUCAGAAACAGAUUUGUCUGAAUUUCAGUUGAUCCAGAGCAAGAAAAAGAUCACGCCUGAAGAAAUGCUGCUGAUGUCUAUGUCACAGUCCUUUCUGUCUUACCCAUGAACCAAGUGAGAAGACAGCAUUGGCCAGCAGUUUUUACUAUUUCUCUUUAACUCACGUUUGGACUUUAAACUUCCAUCUGCCUCUCUCUCCUACUUUCACGGUGUCUGGAAUGUUUUCUCAAUGCCAACAAUCAAUUCUCUGAUUCUCCAGACACCAGCUGGAUGUCCUACAUUCAAUUCUAACACUAUCUACCUGGAGUUAGCACAGACCUCACAGGUUAAGGGUUCAUUCCCACAAGACCCCCACAACUUCAGAUGUUGGUUGCAAGGCCUGGCUGCCUGCACUUCUGACCCACUGGCUAUAAUUCAGGGGUUCCUGCUGGAACUGUAAUAGGUCCAUCACCAUCACCCAAUGCAGGCAUUAAGUCAGUACACCGAGACACCCGGUUGCGCAGAGAAAGAGGUAUUAUCGUGGAGCCACCAAACAACAAGACAGGAGGAAACCUUCAAAUCCAUCUCCCCAAGGAGUUUGGGGCUCGGGCUUUUUUUUUUUUUUUUUGAGACGGAGUCUCGCUCUGUCGCCAGGCUGGAGUCCAGUGGUGUGAUCUCAGCUCACUGCAACCUCCGCCACCCAGGUUCAAGCGAUUCUCCUGCCUCAGCCUCCUGAGUAGCUGGGAUUACAGGCGCCCACCACCACACCUGGCUAAUAUUUGUAUUUUUAGUAGAGACAGGAUUUCCACCAUGUUGGCCAGGAUGGUCUUGAUCUCCUCACCUUGUAAUCCACCCCGCCCGCCUUGGCCUCCCAAAGUGCUGGGAUUAUAGGCCUGAGUCGCCACGUCCAGCCUGGGCUUGGGCUUUUAAGGGUUUUGGAGUGGGCGGAAGUGUGGAGAUGGUGGAUUGGCUGAAUAGUGCGGUGUGAAGUCAUGGGACAGGAAGAUGAAGAAGCUGUAUUCUCACACUGAUUUGGUUCCUCUGUGGGGGUCUUCAAAGCGGUUGGUUGCAGCUGCUUCACUGGAAUUCAGGGUCUCAGAAAAACAUCUUAAGCAUCCUCAAACAAAAGUCUUAUGAUUCUAAUGUCAGAGAUGCUGUCUAUAGGAAUAAUGGGAAUGCAAAUGGUCGGUGUCAGGUGCUACGAGACUUUAAGCAAUGAGGAAGGGGCCAGAGAGCAGCCUGAUAGAUGCUGAAUUAUAACCGUGUUUCAUUCUUGUCAAUGCUGUGGGGAUGCCUUCCUCACAACUUCCUCCUCAGGUUUCAUAACAUGUUAGAAUCAGUCACAGAACUCAGGAACACACUUUACUUACAUGUGCAAACUUAAAUAAUACAACUAAGGAACAGCCAGAUGGAAGAGAGGCAUAGGACCAGGCGUCGGGGAGGGGCACGAGCAGCCCUGCCACAUUCCGGGCACCAGCCUUCCAACACCGAUGUAUUCACCAGCCUGGAGUUUCUAUACAGCUCAAUCUCCAGCUUCCCCUUUCCCUUGCAUGAGGCAAAGGUCAGGGACAGAGUGAAAGUUCCAACCUUUUAAACAUUAGUCUUUCUGAUGACCAGCCGCAUCCUGAGUAUCUAGGGGCCACACGCUAGAUCACCUAAUUAGCAUAAACACAGGUGUGAUCAAAAGGAAUUCAUUAUGAAUAACAAGACUCCCAUCAGGCCUGGCGUGGUGGCUCACACCUGUAAUUCCAGCACUUUGGGAGGCUGAGGCGGGUGAAUCACUUGAGGUCACGAGUUCCAAGACCAGCCUGGCCAACACAGUGAAACCUCAUCUCUACUAAAGAUACAAAAAUAAAUUAGCCAGGCAUUGUGGCAGGCACCUGUAAUCCCAGCUACUCAGGAGGCUGAGGCAGGAGAAUCGCUUGAACCUGGGAGGCAGAGGUUGCAGUGAGCCGAGGUCACGCCAUUGCACUCCAGCCUGGGUGACAGAGCAAGACUCUGUCUCAAAAAAAAAAAAGACUCCCAUCACUCAGGCAAUGCCAAGGGUUUAGGGAACUCUGUGCCAGGAACAGGGACAAAAACCAGAUACAUAUAUAUAUAUAUACUUUUUAAAAAUAUAAUUUCAACUUUUAUUUUAGAUUUGGGGGCAUAUGUGCAGGUUUGUCUCAUGGGUAUAUGGCAUAAUGCUGAGGUUUGGUGUAUGACUGAUUCUGUCACCCAGAUAGUGAGCAUAGUUCCCAACAGUUAGUUUUUCAACCCUCGCCCACUCCCUCUCUCCUCCCGCUAGGAGUCCCCCAGUGGUGUUUUUGCCAUCUUUAUGUCCACGAGUACCCAAUGUUUAGCUCACACUUAUCAGUGAGAACACGCCAUAUUUGAUUUUUCUCUUCCUGCAUUAAUUUGCUUAAGAUAAUGACCAAAUCUAUUUCUUAUUAUACCACAGAUAUAUAUAUAAAUCCUGUAGCUAAGGACUCAUCUUUGUACCGGUAGGCAGUAUUUACAAUGCACGCAUCAAGUCAGUACACCAAGACAACUGGUUGCAGCAGAGAAAGAGGUUUAAUCAUAGGGCCACCAAACAAGAAGACAGGAGGAAACCUCAAAUCCAUCUCCCCAGAAAGUUUGAGAUUAGGGAUUUUUUUUCAGUAGCUGAAUAUAACUGGCCAGUGCAGAAGAGCCUAUGAAGGUGGAAAAUGGAGGAAGGAGGACCCCAUGCUGGAGAAGUGAUGGAGAUUUGAAGCCUUGGAAGAUGGCGGCAAGGGAGAUGCCAGAGAUGAGACAAUGUUAAACAUCUGUAAUCUAACAGUCUUCUAUGGGAGUUUAUUACAUUUCCAUAUCCUAUGUUCACUUCUAGUGAAAAAUAAAAAUAAAAUCUUAAGCCCCCCACAGCUGACUAAAUGGAUCCCAUUGUGAAAGGAAAAUAUCUUGAGCCUCCAAAAUCACUAAGGAAAAUUCAAGCUGGAAACUUCUUAGGACAAACCUGCCUCCCAUUCUCUUCAAAGUUAUUCCUCUGCUCGAGGAGCUAGAUGCAUAUCUGAUUGCCGCCUUUGGAAAGGCUAACCAGAAACUCAAAAGAAUGAUACAGUUUGUUAUCACCUACCUGUGACCUGGAAGCUCCCUCCCUCCCCACUUGAGUCUUCCUGCUUUUGUUUCAAGCUGUCCUGCCUUUCCAGACCAAACCAAUGUACUUCUUACGUAUAUUGAUUGAUGUCUCACUCAUGUCUCCCUAAAUCGUAUAAAACCAAGCUGUGCCCCAACUACCCUGGGCAUGUGUCAUCAGGAUUUCAUGAAGCUGUGUCACGGGCGCAUUCCCCAACCUUGAAAAAAUAAACUUUCUAAAUUAACUGAGACCUGUCUCAGAUUUUCUGGGUUCACAUUGUUUUCGUCAAGGGGACUCCCCAAGUAACUUUGAAAACUGAGUUCUAGGCUGUGAGGGGAUGGGAGGUCAGAGGUCAGACGCACCUUGCUGCACACCUCCACCUCGCUAACCCCCUUAGGCUUUCUUCCCUAGGGGCUAAACAGAAACCAGCUCUUUCCUUUUUUUUUUUUCUUUUUUUUUAGAGACGAGUCUUGCUCUGUCACCCAGGCUGGAGUGCAGUGGUUCGAUUUUGGCUCACUGCAACCACCACCUCCCAGGUUCAAGCAAUUCUCCUGCCUCAGCUUCCCAAGUAACUGCAACUACAAGCACAUGCCACCAUGCCCGGCUAAUUUCUUUUGUAUUUUUAGUAGAGAUGGGGUUUCACCAUGUUGCCCGGGCUGGUCUUGAACUCCUGAGCUCAGGCAAUCUGUCCGCCUCAGCCUCCCAAAGUGCUAGGAUUACAGGCAUGAGCCACUGCACCCAGCCAAAACCAGCUCUUUCAAAAGACUCCAGUGCUGAUAUCAACAACUGCCUGAGGCUUCCCCACCCUUUUGCAGUUUCCACAUAACAAUUAACCAGCAUUCCCUCCUGAUAAGAGACAACACCCCGCCCGCCGACGCAGAGCGGUUCUGGCCAGUCUUCAGAGGCUGCACACAGAGAGCCUGCGUGUCCCUGCUUUGUCUUUCGAUGUAAAAGGCCUAACUGUCAUGCAUUGAAAUGUGAAGUCUCCAGCCCAAAGUGAACAUGGGACACAUGCUGCAUGCAUGUUAGCCUGCUACACAUGCAUGAUCCUCUUCAUGAAUAUUCAUAGCUCCUCCUGUAAUCUGUUGAAUAUGUAUACUUAGCCAAC
rnacentral:lncRNA from 1 species